rnacentral:hammerhead_ribozyme from 1 species
GUACUGCUGAAGAGUCCCAAACACCUGGACGAGACAGUUAGCUGUCCAGUAC